GCAGGUUCUCACCAGAAAAUACAGAACUUCUUACAACUUUAGAAUUACUCUACUUAUAGCUCGGCAUUUACCAGAAGGCAUUUGAACAUCUUGGCAAUGCACUGACUUAUGACCCUACCAACUACAAGGCCAUCUUGGCAGCAGGCAGCAUGAUGCAGACCCAUGGGGACUUUGAUGUUGCUGUUGCCCUCACCAGAUACAGAGUUGUGGCUUGUGCUGUUCCAGAAAAUCCUCUACUCUGAAAUAACAUUGAAAUGUGUUUCUUCGGCAAGAAGAAAUAUGUGGCAGCCAGUAUCCCCUCAUGUUCUUUGUUUGC